rnacentral:snRNA from 1 species
CUGCUUGUUUUGGCAGCACAUAUACUAAAAUUUGAAUGAUACAGAGAAGAUUAGCACGGCCCCUGUGCAAGGAUGACACGCAAAUUCAUGAAGCGUUCCAUAUUAAA